GCUGGUGUAGCUCAGGGGGUAGAGCAACGCACUCGUAAUGCGUAGGUCGGGGGUUCAAUUCCCUUCACCAGCACCA
rnacentral:tRNA from 1 species